rnacentral:rRNA from 1 species
UGGUUGUCGUCAGCUCGUGUCGUGAGAUGUUGGGUUAAGUCCCGCAACGAGCGCAACCCUCGCCUUUAGUUGCCAGCAUUAAGUUGGGCACUCUAGAGGGACUGCCGGCGACAAGUCGGAGGAAGGUGGGGAUGACGUCAAAUCAUCAUGCCCCUUAUGACCUGGGCUACACACGUGCUACAAUGGGCGGUACAAAGGGCUGCGAACCCGCGAGGGGGAGCGAAUCCCAAAAAGCCGCUCUCAGUUCGGAUUGCAGGCUGCAACUCGCCUGCAUGAAGCCGGAAUCGCUAGUAAUCGCGA